rnacentral:rRNA from 1 species
UACAUGUGGGGCAAGCGUUGUUCGGAAUUACUGGGCGUAAAGGGCGCGUAGGCGGCCUUGUCAGUCAGGCGUGAAAGCCCCGGGCUCAACCUGGGAACGGCGCUUGGGACGGCGAGGCUGGAGUUCGGGAGAGGAGAGUGGAAUUCCCAGUGUAGAGGUGAAAUUCGUAGAUAUCAGGAGGAAUACCGAUGGCGAAGGCAGGUCUCUGGGCUAUAACUGACGCUCAUGCACGAAAGCGUGGGGAGCAAACAGG